UCCCAGAAAUUUCGUUACCGUGAAAAAAUUAGAGUGUUCAAAGCAGGCAGAUCCAAUUUUCUGCCACCGAAUACAUUAGCAUGGGAUAAUGGAAUAGGACCUGUCCUCCUAUUUUCAGUUGUUUUGGCAGCGCGAGACUAGGCCCGUCCC
rnacentral:rRNA from 1 species